rnacentral:misc_RNA from 1 species
GAUGAAGAACGUAGCGAAAUGCGAUAAGUAAUGAGAAUUGCAGAAUUCAGUGAAUCAUCGAAUCUUUGAACGCACAUUGCGCCCGCCAGUAUUCUGGCGGGCAUGCCUGUUCGAGCGUCAUUUCAACCAUCAAGCCCUGCUUGCGUUGGGGUCCUGCGGCUGCCCGCAGGCCCUGAAAACCAGUGGCGGGCUCGCUAGUCACACCGAGCGCAGUAAUACAUCUCGCUUUGGGCGUGCGGCGGGUUCUUGCCGUUAAACACCCCCUUUUUACCAAGGUUGACCUCGGAUCAGGUAGGAAUACCCGCUGAACUUAAGCAUAUCAAUAAGCGGAGGA